GACGAACGCUGGCGGCGUGCUUAACACAUGCAAGUCGAACGGAAAGGCCCUGCUUUUGUGGGGUGCUCGAGUGGCGAACGGGUGAGUAACACGUGAGUAACCUGCCCUUGACUUUGGGAUAACUUCAGGAAACUGGGGCUAAUACCGGAUAGGAGCUCCUGCUGCAUGGUGGGGGUUGGAAAGUUUCGGCGGUUGGGGAUGGACUCGCGGCUUAUCAGCUUGUUGGUGGGGUAGUGGCUUACCAAGGCUUUGACGGGUAGCCGGCCUGAGAGGGUGACCGGCCACAUUGGGACUGAGAUACGGCCCAGACUCCUACGGGAGGCAGCAGUGGGGAAUAUUGCACAAUGGGCGGAAGCCUGAUGCAGCAACGCCGCGUGCGGGAUGUCGGCCUUCGGGUUGUAUACCGCUUUCGCCUGUGACGAAGCGUGAGUGACGGUAAUGGGUAAAGAAGCACCGGCUAACUACGUG
rnacentral:rRNA from 1 species